UGAAGCGGCAAAAGCUCAAAUUUGAAACCCUCGGGAUUGUAAUUUGAAGAUUUGGCAUUGGAGAAAGCUAACCCAAGUUGCUUGGAAUAGUACGUCAUAGAGGGUGACAACCCCGUCUGGCUAACCGUUCUCCAUGUAUUGCCUUAUCAAAGAGUCGAGUUGUUUGGGAAUGCAGCUCAAAGUGGGUGGUAAACUCCAUCUAAAGCUAAAUACUGGUGAGAGACCGAUAGCGAACAAGUACUGUGAAGGAAAGGUGAAAAGAACUUUGAAAAGAGAGUGAAAUAGUAUGUGAAAUUGUUGAUAGGGAAGGAAAUGAGUGGAGAGUGGCCGAGGUUUCAGCCGCCCCUCGUGGGCGGUGUACUGCCGACGCCGAGUCAUCGAUAGCGAGACGAGGGUUACAAAUGGGAGCGCCUUUCGGGCGUUCUCCCCUAACCCUCCACACUGCCACCGACGA
rnacentral:rRNA from 1 species